GGGUGUGAAUCUCUUGGGCUUCAUAUACAAGAAAUCAUUGCCAGAUCCAAUGUCAUGAAAUGUCUCUGUAUUUCUUUUGAGCGCUUCAGAGUUGAGGCUCAUGUUCAAAUGCUUUGGUGCAUUUUAGUUAAUUUCUAUAUUUGGUAUUGAUUAAGGAUCUAUCUCUAUUCUUUUGUAUGUGAAUAUCCAGCUUUUCCAUAGUAUUGAAAAGGCAGUUAUUCUCAGUGAAUAGUCUUGGCACCUAUGUCAGUUUAUUGCUGGGAUGAUUUUAUUCUGUGGGUUUCUGUGUCUAUACUUAAACCAACAUGAGACUAUUUUGGUCUUUAUUGUAUAGGAUAGCAAGUUUUAAGAUCGAGAACUAUUAGUUUUCCAAUUUUAUUUUUACUUUUAAAAGCAUUUGGGAGGAUGGAGUGAUGAUGGAUCAUUGGUUAAGAGCCCUGGCUGUUCUUGCAGAGGUUCUGAGUUCAAUUUCCAACAUCAUGACAAUUGAUAAUCAUGUGCACCUCCAGUUGCAGGGGGCCUAGUGCCCUCUUCUGGACUCCACAGGCACCAGGCACAGAUGUAGUGUACAAACAUACAUGCAGGCAAUACACACAUACAUAAAAAAUAACAUGUAACCUUCAAAUUAAAGAAUGUUUUGGUCUUUAGGACCCUUUGAGAUUGCAUGUAACUCAUUCUGUCUCUCCUUUCUUCUCUCUUUUCUUUCUCUCUUUUCCUCCCUUCACCUCUUCUAUUUCUUUCUUUUUCUUCUUCUUCAUUAGUCUAGAUAAAAUUCAGAUCCUUAUAGAUGCAAGUUAGGUAGUCUAUCUCUGAGCCUCAACCCAGUCAGGGUUGUUUUUCUAUUUCUUCAAAAGCCAUCAUUAAUAUUUUCAUAGGAUCAAACUGAAUUUAUAGGCAUUUUUGAAUAGUUAUGUUCAGGGUUUUUCUGAUGAGUUUUGUUCAGGGUGAUAAAUCUGAGUCUAUUUUCAUUCUUUUGCAUGUGGCUAUCUGUUUUGACUAGCACCAUUUGUUCAAGAUGCUGUCUUUUCUUUGGUGUGUGUUUUCGGUUUCUUUAUCAAAAUCAGUUGUCUGUAGUUGUGUGGAUUUAUGUCUUGGUCUUAAAUUCGAUUCAAUGUGCCUAUUUCCUAGGAGUAUAGCAUGCAGCUUUUUAUUACUAUAGCACUAUAAUACAAUUUGAAAUUCAGGAUGGUAAUACCUCCAGCAAUGUCAAUUUCUGUAAAGAAUUGUGUUGCAACUUUAAUGGGGACUACAUUGCAUCUGUAGAUUGCCUUGGGUAGGAUGACUAUUUUCCCAGUAUUAAUCCUACAGAUCUAUGCGCAUGAGAGCCUUUCUAUCUUUUGGUGUCUUCUUCCAAUGUCUUAAAUAUUUAUUAUACAAACAUUUCACUUGCUUGGUUAGAGUUAUCUCCAGAUAUCGAUUCUGAGGCUACUGUGGAAACUUUUGUUUCCAUGAUUUCCUUCUCAAUAUGUUUGUCAUGUGUAUAUGGGAAGGCUGCAGACUUUUGACUGUUAAUUUUCUAUCCUAAUACUCUGCUGAAAGUGUUUUCAGUUCUUAGAGUCUUACGGUGGAAUCUUUUGGGUCUCCUAAAGACUCAUAUCUCCAGUGAAUAAGGAUACAUAUACUUCUUCCUUUCCUAUGUGUAUCUCCUUCAUCUCCUCCAGUUGUUUUCUAUUCUAGCUAAAAUACUAUGUUGGAUAGGUAUGGAGAGAGUGGACAUUCUUUUACUGUUUUUAAUUUUAGUGGAAAUACUUUGUGUUUCUCUUGGUUGAGAUUGGCGUUGGCUAUGAGCUUUCUAUAAAUUGCUUCCAUUAUGUUGAAACAUGUGCCUUAUAUCUGGAGUCUCUCCAGGACUUUUAUCACAAAGGAGUUUUUUGGUUUUUUUUUUUUUUGUUUUUUUUGCAUCUGAUGGGAUUCUUAAAAUAUCUUUUAGUAUGUUUUAUAUCGUUUAGUCUAGUUUUUUGUGGUGGGUUAUUUUAACUGAUUUGUGUAUGAUGAUCCCUAUAUCUCUGGCAUGAAACUCAUUAUAGAACUAGUAUCUGUCAUUGUUAAUGAGGUCCAAACCAUGAGACUAGAUCAUAGGUCAUAGGAUCAGGUUUUCUUACAGAAAAACCUACUAUUAUUACUCUGCUACAUGAACAGAACAGUAAAAUGCUUCCAAAUGAUUUCGUUCUAUAUCAAUAAAUCAGUAUAUCACUCAGUUCUCUUCAGAAAAACUUGCUCUAGAUAAUAAUUAACAAAAAGAUCCACAACUUGACAAUGUAUAGACAGUGAGCGAUGUCUUUAUCACACCCCUCCCCUCUGGAUUCAGGCAUCUAUGCAUGUGAGGAGAUGGAAAGAACGUAAGAGAUAGAGGUGGUGGAAAUUUCCAAGGGAACAGUAUUUUCCAGAAACAACAGGGAUAAUACAAUAUGAACUCACAGAAAUGGUGACAGCAUGCACAAGACCCAUAUAAGCUGAAGCCAGAUCAAAUCCAAGCAGGAAGAGGGAAAGGCAGACACUAAGUUAUACUAGCCAAGAGUCUGUGGCCAUGUUGUCUCUUCACAACAAUUAAAAAGUAACUAAGACAGGUUGUAUACCUCUCUCUCAUCUAUGUAUAUAUUUGUGCAUGUAUGUAUAUAUGUAUGUAUGAAUGUAUGUAUGUAUGUAUGAAUGUAUGUAUGUAUGUAUGUAUGUAUGUAUGUAUCUAUCUAUCUAUCUAUCUAUCUAUCUAUCUAUCUAUCUAUCUAAUCUAUCUAUUACAGCAGUCAAUGACAACUUUAGAUAGUGAAGGUAAGGGAAUAAGAACUUUGACUUUUAACUAUUUCCAGGUCCUCUAUUUGCACAGACUAAGACACAUAGACAACAAAAGUUAAUUUCCUUUGUCUGUAUCUUGGACAAAAAACAAAACAAAACAAAACAAAACAAAACAAAACAAAACCAGACAAACAAACUACAAAACAAAACAAGAAACCCAGUAUCUUGAGCAAAAAAAAAAAUCAAUUCAUUAAAAAACAAAGUCAAAUCCUAAUAUUAAAGGCAACCUCUUUUCUUCACUGAUAUUUUUGAAAUGAAGAAUUUAAGAGCCAACAUCUACAAAGACAGACGUGUAUUUCCUUUCCUUCCUUUAUGGACAUUAGCUUGGAAUAUUCAUCUAUGUGUUUCAUUUGGAAUAUCCUUAGAGGAAGUUAGAAAGGGUCCUUGUGGUGACCUCAGUGGAGGAGGACAGAGCUCGAUGGUAUAAAGGCUUAAAGGGAACUAGUGGAUCACAUGGGGAUAGGAAAAAAAAUCUGUUUUCUUCAAUGGAGUGACAGUAGGAAUGGAUAUACAGUCCUGGGCAGGACUCAUGCUGAAGAGUAGUUGACCAACACAAAUCAUACUCCAUGAGGGGUGUGUGUGUGUGUGUGUGUGUGUGUGUGUGUGUGUGUAUGUGUGUGUGUAUGGUCUCAUUUAUUUAUUGAGAAAGAGAAAGAGAAAGAGAGAGAGAGAGAAAGAGAGAGAGAAAUUGGGUAGGCAUGGGAGGCUGAUCUGUGACUAGUUGGGAAAAUUAUCAAAAUUAAAUAAAAACAUCAAAAAGAAUAAAGAGAUACAUGUUUUCAAAGACAUUAAUAUUUUAGAUUUUAUCUGCUCUACACCAAAACAGAUGAAAUUCACAAACAUCUGAAUGAAGUACUCUUGAUUCCACCAUUUCUGUUACCAUACCUUUGGCAAUAACCCUGCUAUGGAUCCUUCGUCAUGGGGAUCCAGGCUCCUUGGCAUCAGGAAUGCCGCCACUAUACAUGCACAGCUGCACUGCACAAGCCGAUUUUCAUGGAUGGAGCCUCAGGCUGUUUUGUCAGCCAGUUUCUGGGAAGCAAAAGGUUCUGUUUUGUAGUACAGUGUAUCUUUAUCAUAUCACACUGCAGGACUGUCCCAUGCUAGGUUGGUUAACUAGCAGGAAGCUUGGUUUACAUGCAGGAUUUGACAGAGCUGAUAUUCAAGGCUACUGCAAACCACUUAAACGUGACCAUGGCAGCUAAACAAAAUGAAGAAAGGAUUCUCCCUAUCAAUUCAAAUUUGGUUUUAUUGAUGUGAAAUGUUUGAACUUUAUUGAAAGAAUUACCCAUCUUGCCUGAGUAUAUGUGGAAGAGAGCAUCCAUUUGCAAAAUUAUGUAUUUAUUCAAUUUGUUCUAUAGACAGGAAAAAGACAAGACAAAAAGAAAAAAAAACAAACACAACCAUACAAAUAAAAGAAACAUAUCAUUAAAAAAAAUAAACAUAUCAUUUUACCACCACUUAAGUAUUUUAGUUCCUGGUCUUCAGUCAUAGAUGGAAGAGUCAACACAAUUUAGAUUUGCCUUAUGUUUUCUUGGCAUGGAAGCUAGAAAACUGCUAGGGACCAUCCUUCAUCCACAAGGCACUGAGAUCUGGUAAGACAAAUGGCUUGGAGACCAAAGAUGCUUCAAAAGAGAAAAUGCCCAGGUGUUCUAUAAACUAUCUAUUCAGUGAUGUUCUGUGUGAGCAUCUGUGUAGAUGGGGCUACUAGGGAGAAAUUGAUGGCAGUUGGUCUUUCCUUGGAAAUGCCUAUGUUACAGUAGUAAAAUACAAGCUGUCCCCGUUCUCAGGAACAGUCAUCCAAAGCAACAGGUAAACACAGGGUAUUGAAUGAGAUGGAGAGUAGUAUCUCCAUGCAUCCCUAUAGUGAGCAUUGUAUAUAGACAGGUGCACGCUCUAAUAUCUAUCUGGUCUACCAUGGAUGAAGUAUAAAAUUUUAUGUAACUUGAUGAAAGCCUCUCUAUAGAUAUCUCCCUUGUUUGUGGAGUAGAGAUAGAUAUGUAUUGAACUGGAGGGAGAAUCAAAAGAAGGAGGGUAUAUUUAUGUGAUCACCUAGUACAGUGCUAGGUACAUAGUGGACAACUAUCCUACUUUCCUAUUGGGUUUAACAUAAGGGAACUUUGGACAGAUCAAAAUGUCAAAGACUACCAGCUCUAGUCUCUAUGCUUUGUAAGUACUUGUUGAAUGAAUGAAUAAAAUAAUAAAAAUCUAGAUAGUAGCCUAGGAGGUACCAUAACUGUGAAAAAAUGACAUCUAUUUGAAUAAAGAUUAAACUCAUCAUCAUAAUGCUAAUAUAACAGAGCAGUUACUUUAUCGUUCCAAUAAAAUAAAAUUAAAAGAUUGACAAGAUCUCUGUCGGAUAAUGGUUACUCUUGGGGCAACUGAGAAUGGGUGUGAGUAUGAGGUAGGAAUCUAAUGGAGGGGAGGAAGUUAUAAUAUUGUGAUUCCUGAUACAGUACAUUUUCAUUGCAAGAAUAUGCUAGGCAGUAUGGCAGUUUGAAUGAGAAUGGCUUUCAUGGGGUCAUACACACAGAUAUUUGGCCCCUAGUUGGUGGAACUGCUUGGGAAAGAUCAGGAUGUGUGGCCUUGUUGGAAGAAUUGGGGAUGGGCUUUGAGGAUUCCAACAUGCAUAUCAUUUCAGUUUGUUUUCUCUCUGCAUCAUGCUUAUGGACCAGAAGUAAGGUCUCAGUUAAAACUAUGGCAUCAUGUCUACCUGCUGCCAUGUUCCUCUCCAUGAUGGUCAUAGACACACCCUCUGGAACAAGAAACCCAAAUAAACUCUUUAAAGAAAAGUUUCCUUGGCCAUGUUGUCUCUUCAUAACAAUAGAAAAGUAACUAAGACAGGUUAUAUACCUCUCUCUUUCUCAUGUAUGUAUAUAUGCAUGCAUUCAUGUAUGGAUAUCUAUAUCUAUCUAUCUAUCUAUCUAUCUAUCUAUCUAUCUCUAUCUAUCUAUCUAUCUAUCUAUCUAUCUAUCUAUCUAAAAACAAGAACAUUGACUUUUAACUAUUUCCAGGUCCUCUAUCUGCACAGACUAAGACACAUAGACAACAAAAUUUAAUUUCCUUUAUCUGUAUCUUGGACAAAAAAAAUCAGACAAACAACAAAACAAAACAAAACAAACAAAUAACCCUCCCCCCAAGAAUUCCAAUAUCUUAAACAAAAAACAAAUCAAUUCAUUAAAAAGCCAAAUCCUAAUAUUAAAUGCAACUUCUUUUCUUCACUGAUAUUUUUGAAGUGAAGAAUUUAAGAGCCAAAAUCUACAAAGACAAAUGUGUAUUUCCUUUCCUUCCUUUAUGGACAUUAGCUUGGAAUAUUCAUCUAUGUGUUUCAUUUGGAAUAUCCUUAGAGGAAGUUAGAAAGGGUCCUUGCGGUGACCCCAGUGGAGGAGAGACAGAACUCGAUGGUAUAAAGGCUUAAAGGGAACUAGUGGAUCACAUGGGGAUGGGAGAAAAGGUUAGAGUAGGGACUAUGAGGAGGAAUAAAUAACACCAAGGAACAUUCAACAAAGUUAUAUCAAGAGCUGCUGCUGUAGAAGCUUCCUAAAAUAAAUAUAUACACCAUCUUAAGGACAAGGAAAAGACUUAGUUUUAUUUUGCUAAUAAGACAUUGUUGCUAAUGGUUUUUUUUUGUUGUUGUUGUUUUGUUUUGUUUUUUUUUUUUUUUUUUGCAGAACUCAGUUAUAAGGAAGAUUCAGACAAAGCUUAAUUGAGGACCAUUCCAUAAAACUUUUCGCCUAUAUUGUUCAGAAUCUCCAAGGUCAGAACAGACACAGGAAGGCAAGGAACAGUUCCAGACUCAUUAAGCCCAAAGAGAAGGACAACUGAACACAGCAGGCGACUUCCCACUGAAUCUUUACCCUUGGUCCCACUCCACUUCCAUUCUGUGGCUGUGAUAAAAUACCCCAACAGAAAGCAAUUUGAGGAGGAAAGAGUUUAUCUGGCUUAUACUUCAAGACUAGAAUCCAUCAUUGAAGGAAUUCAUGGCAAGAACUCAAAGCAUGGAUAGAUUCUAUUUGCAACUCACUUAGCAACCUUUCUUAUACAACCCAGCACCACGUGCAGAGGCUUGGCGCUGCCACUGUGAUGAUGGAUCAUCAGGCUGGCAGCUCAUUCUCAACAGACUCAGGACCAGGGGUUCUUACAUGGUGCCUACUGCCUACCACCCUUGAUUGAAAUUUUAAGAUUAUUUGAAUCAAGAAAUGAAAACUAGAUUCCAUAACUAUUUUAGCUACUAUCUAGAAUAGGCAGAUCAUUCAAGGAACAGGAGUUAGAGAUGCUUCCCACAGUGGAUUCAGACAGAAGGGAAAUUAUAGCUGUCUUUAGCUGUGAUGACAUGGUCCAAGCUUCAUGAGUUUUAAUAAUGUCAGUUAAGACUGACUCAAGACAAUUCUGCAGACAUACCUUCUGGUCAACCUGAUUGAAGCAAUUCUUUGCUUGAAGCUUACUCCUUCCACAUGACUGUAGGUUGUGUCAAGUUAACAAACAUAACUAACCGAGACAGGCCCUGAGAUGUACAGGACAGGAAGGUUCACUGUUACUGUUCUUAUUUUGAUGGUGAUUCUUAGGUUUCACAAACUGCACCUGAAAGUGACAAACUGCACUGAGCUAUGAUCAAACUCUGGUUUGAAUGCUUGAGUCUCUUCAAAAGUUCAUGUGUAGUAACUUGAACUCCAAGCUCUUCAUACACAUGAGACCAACACUUCUAGACACCAGACCUAUCACCUUGAUCUUGCACUUCCCUGUCUCCAGAACUGUGACAAAUGCACUUCUGUUGUUUAUAAAUUACUCAGUUUCGGGCAUUUUGUUGAAGAAGCAGAUCCUAAUGUGGCCCACCCACCAUAUAACAUGGAAGAGGCAGACACCUCUGCUCUGUGAUUUUCACGUUUGCUUCAAACUCAGCAAUCCUACUGGGAACAUAGUUGGGAACCACCAGGCAACGCUUUUUUUUCCUCUUUGAAGAAGGACAUAGUUUAAUCUGAUAAUGUGGCAAGAAUUGUAACCAGACAGUGGAAGAAACAUGGAGCAAUUUUGAGGAACAGAAAUAGAGAAUAGAGAACCCCUAAAUUACUAGAACCAGACACUUAGCUGAAACUGAACUAUGGGGAUGCUCCUGAUGGGGGCUUGGAAGCACAUUGCUGGAAUGAGGACUUCCGUUUCAUAAUGGUGAGUGAAACUGUUUCCUGAAGUUUUGUGGAAGACAGAGCUUAUAUGAGAUAUAUGCAGCAGUAUUAUUAAAGAGAUUUCAAAGAAAAUGUUGAAGGACCCACUGAUUUCUUCUUUCUGCUAAAAGAGACCUGCACUGAAGGAAGGAUUUUUUUCUUUCAAAAAAUUUUAGAAAGGAAUCAGAAUCCAAUGGCCUCAAACAUUCUGAUGCUCUCCAAUUGAGAGCCAAGAUGCUAAAACUGCGAGACUCACUCUCAGGACAACA